rnacentral:rRNA from 1 species
GAUGAACGCUAGCUACAGGCUUAACACAUGCAAGUCGCGGGGCAGCAUGGGGGUUGCUUGCAAUCCCCGAUGGCGACCGGCGCACGGGUGAGUAACGCGUAUCCAACCUGCCCUUCACCACGGGAUAACCCGGCGAAAGUCGGACUAAUACCGUAUGUUGUCCAUUGACGGCAUCCGAUUUGGACGAAAGGCUUGGCGGUGAGGGAUGGGGAUGCGUCCGAUUAGCCAGACGGCGGGGUAACGGCCCACCGUGGCUACGAUCGGUAUGGGUUCUGAGAGGAAGGUCCCCCACACUGGAACUGAGACACGGUCCAGACUCCUACGGGAGGCAGCAGUGAGGAAUAUUGGUCAAUGGGCGUAAGCCUGAACCAGCCAAGUAGCGUGCAGGAGGACGGCCCUAUGGGUUGUAAACUGCUUUUAUGCGGGGAUAAAGUGGCCCACGUGUGGGCUUUUGCAGGUACCGCAUGAAUAAGGACCGGCUAAUUCCGUG